GCCCAGGUGGUGAAAUUGGUAGACGCAGGGGACUCAAAAUCUCCCGCCGCAAGGCGUGCCGGUUCGAUUCCGGCCCUGGGCA
rnacentral:tRNA from 1 species